rnacentral:ncRNA from 1 species
UUACGUUUCCUUUACACUUCUCAAACCGGGAUCAAGAGAAGCAAAGCAUCCCUCAUAUCCACGAUGGAGGGUGUCGUGGAGUAUACUGUACCAA